CUGGAAGGAUUGCCAGAUUGAGAGCUCUUUCUUGAUUCGGUGGGUGGUGGUGCAUGGCCGUUCUUAGUUGGUGGAGCGAUUUGUCUGGUUAAUUCCGAUAACGAACGAGACUCUAGCCUGCUAAAUAGGUGGCUGGCUUUUUGAAUGAAAAUUUUGGGUUCGCAGUCUUUCUGGAUCAGGGGUUUGGGGCGCGGAGGCGGUUGCGGGUGUGUCGUCGCGUGCCUCGGUGCGUGGCGGGAUAUUCGUCGCCGUCGCCCGCCUCAGGUCCCCCGGAAAGCCAGCUGCGUUCUCGCGUCAGUCACGACUCUUCUUAGAGGGACAAGCGGCGUUUAGCCGCGUGACAGUGAGCAAUAACAGGUCUGUGAUGCCCUUAGAUGUCCUGGGCCGCACGCGCGCUACACUGAAGGAAUCAGCGUGUUUCUCUCCCCCUGUCCGAGAGGACCGGGUAACCGCUGAACCUCCUUCGUGGUUGGGAUUGGGG
rnacentral:rRNA from 1 species